rnacentral:rRNA from 1 species
CACGUAGGGGGCAAGCGUUGUCCGGAUUUAUUGGGCGUAAAGAGCGUGUAGGCGGCCAGGGAGGUCCGUUGUGAAAACUCGAGGCUCAACCUCGAGACGCCGAUGGAAACCCCCUGGCUAGAGUCCGGAAGAGGAGAGUGGAAUUCCUGGUGUAGCGGUGAAAUGCGCAGAUAUCAGGAAGAACACCCGUGGCUAAGGCGGCUCUCUAGUACGGUACUGACGCUGAGACGCGAAAGCGUGGGGAGCGAACAGG